rnacentral:sRNA from 1 species
CUUCUUCUUCUUCGUCUUCACU